UACGUAGGGUGCAAGCGUUAAUCGGAAUUACUGGGCGUAAAGCGUGCGCAGGCGGUUUUGUAAGACUGUCGUGAAAUCCCCGGGCUCAACCUGGGAAUGGCGAUGGUGACUGCAAGGCUAGAGUUUGGCAGAGGGGGGGUAGAAUUCCACGUGUAGCAGUGAAAUGCGUAGAUAUGUGGAGGAACACCGAUGGCGAAGGCAGCCCCCCCUGGGUCAAAAACUGACGCUCAUGCACGAAAGCGUGGGGAGCAAACAGG
rnacentral:rRNA from 1 species